GCAACGUGAUGAGUUAAUGUCGAAGAUGACAAAAAAAGAGGGACCUUGAUCCGAAUUCGCUCGAUGACUGGUGUACCCCAUGCCAGCCAGUUUGGGGUGUGCCCUGCUUACUGCCCAUACUGCCCUUACUCAGCUGGGACAGGCUCCAGCAACCCUGUGAUCCUCCUCCUCCAGGUGGACUCCGAGGCGUUCCCAGGCCAGUCAGGAGACAGCCUCCCCAGCGUGUCCUGGGUCAACCCCGGGGCCUCCAACCAGUGGUACAUGCCUGCAACACCACACUGAGGAGGCAUCCAGGACGCAUCCUAAUCAUAUGCCUGAGCCACCUCAUCUGACUCCUCUCGAUGCGGAGAUGCAGCAGCAGCUCUACUCCGAGCCCUGCCUGGAUGACCGAGUUUCUCACCUAAUCUCAUAUCAAAUUUUUUAUCUUGAAAAUCACUAGCCCUACUUAAUGUAGAUUGUAGGUUGUAGGUUGUAGAUCAUUUAAAUCCACCCAUUUAAAAAAAUUACAGGAAAAUCUAGUUGAAAGUGAAAAUUGUAAAAAUCCUGAUACAUUCAUACAGAAUUUGACCAAUUUGACAGAAUAAGACCAUGAUGUCAUUAAACUAUCCACUCUGUCUACACAAAUAAACAGAACAAAUAAAAUGGUGUGAAUAUGUAUGCUGCCUGGGUGACAUUAUCUAUCAGUCAUUCAUUUCUAAUGAUUUAAUACAAGUAACUCACUUGCUGAGCAGGUUUUCCAGUGAGGGGUCUUCCUGCUUCAUGGAUUCACUGCUAACAAUCACAUUUGUUUGUGGAACAACACUGUAAGAGAAACAUUAUAUGAUAAGGUUGAUACAUUGGAAACCUCUGUCAGAUGGGACAUAACUCAAAAUACUACAUUGGCGUGUCAUCCACAAACAUAUGAUGCUUACCAUCGCACUUUGUUCCAGGUC